UACGGGGGGGGUAAGCGUUGUUCGGAAUUACUGGGCGUAAAGGGCUCGUAGGCGGCCAACUAAGUCAGACGUGAAAUCCCUCAGCUUAACUGGGGAACUGCGUCUGAUACUGGAUGGCUUGGAUUCGGGAGAGGAAUGGCGGAAUUCCAGGUGUAGCGGUGAAAUGCGUAGAUAUCUGGAGGAACACCGGUGGCGAAGGCGGCAUUCUGGACCGACAUUGACGCUGAGGAGCGAAAGCCAGGGGAGCAAACGGG
rnacentral:rRNA from 1 species